AGCUCCAAUAGCGUAUAUUAAAGUUGUUGCAGUUAGAACGCUCGUAGUCGGAUUUCGGGGCGGUGCGACCGGUCUGCCGAUGGGUACGCACUGGUCGUGUCGUCCUUCCUUCCGGAGACCGUGCCUACUCUUAACUGAGCGGGUGCGGGAGACGGAACGUUUACUUUGAAAAAUCAGAGUGUUUCAAGCAGGCAGCUCGCUCUUGCAUGGAUUAGCAUGGGAUAAUGAAUA
rnacentral:rRNA from 1 species